rnacentral:rRNA from 1 species
GACGAAGGGGGCUAGCGUUGCUCGGAAUUACUGGGCGUAAAGCGCGUGUAGGCGGCUGUUCAAGUUGGGCGUGAAAGCCUUGGGCUUAACCCAAGAAAUGCGCUCAAUACUGGAUAGCUAGAGGACCGGAGAGGAUAGUGGAAUUCCAGUGUAGUGGUGAAAUACGUAGAGAUUGGGAAGAACACCAGUGGCGAAGGCGGCUAUCUGGACGGUUUCUGACGCUAAGACGCGAAAGCGUGGGGAGCAAACAGG